rnacentral:lncRNA from 1 species
UGGCUUGAAAGCGAUGAAGCUGAUGCACUGUACUUGCCUGGUGUUGUCGAAGCCGAUGAUGCGGACAUAGGCGCCAGGGUAUUCCUUCUUGACCUCCUCCAACUCCUUGAGCACCUGCGUGGCGUCAGUGCACCCGAACAUGGGAAGCUUCCACAUUGUCCAGUACCUCCCGUCCUAGUACCCUGGGGAGUUGCCGUGCUCACGGAAGACGAAACCGACCUUGCUGAACUCGAGGCAAGGAACCCAUUUGGAGCGGAUGAGAUACUCGAUCUGCUUCAGGAGGGACUCCACGGUGAGAGGUGGCAGGUAGGAAAGGGUCUCGAACUUCUUGAUGCCCUCAAUUGGCCACACCUGCAAUUAGAUUAAAAUUAGCACACAAAGUGUGAUUUGAGACACAUAUCGAUGGAGUAUUUCACUUCACACAUAUCGGUAUGAUGAUAUACAUACCUGCAUGCUCGUGAUCCUGCCACCGUUGGAGACGCUGCCGAGGCCAGCGCCGGCAGAGCGGCGGCUGACGGGGAGCCCGGCGGUGGACUUGAGGCCCCGGAAAGGAGCAACAGCGGUAGCCGCCGCCGACAUCACUGUCGGACCCAUAGCAUCCACCCUUGUAUCACUAGAGUAUAUCUACUUAGCUAAUAUGCUAAGUUUGGCACGGAGAGAGGAGGUCGAGUGGACUUCAUUCCUGGUCACAAGGGUUUAUAUAUACCAUAUAACAUACGAGCAAUUUGUGAUUAAUUUGUUGUCGUUCUAGGAGAUGUGGAAAGGGUGGAUGCCGUUCGUUGGUUGCCUUAUCCGUUCUAGAGAAGGGAUGGAUGACCGACGCUCGCUCAGCCGUCUCCUUCGUCCAUCGUUGCCAAUCUUUCUAGCUAUAAUUGGAAGUUCCAAAGGAACAUACGGUUUCAUGCCUACUUCCAUCGGCCUAUCAUGUACCAAUCCAAUAAAAGGACAUCGUUCAACCAUCAAUCCAUGUGUGUGUAGUAAGUGAUUGGCUACGAACCUUCAGCUGACUUGCUUUAUUGGAUAUUUCUGUAAAGCGAGUCCACGGUGUGUGGGUUUAAAAUCUCGUGGCGGCAACUGUUGACGGGUGCAAAUAUCAGUAGCCUUAAAACAAUAAACUUUACUCCGUCCCUUCCGAAAUGCAAGAAUGUCCUAAGUCAAACUUCUUAUGCUGCAGGACCAUAGUUUUUGAGGUGUUCUUCUCACGAGUCCACGAAGAACGGGAAUUUUUUGGUGUCGGGUAAGGGCGGGGGAAUAUAUAGAUGCUAGCAUCAGCAUGACGGGCUAACGGGUCAGGUAGGAUUUUGGACGACGUAGCACCUGACAUGUGGGGGCCACAUGUAAGAAAACCUGUCAAAAUGUCAUAACCCUCUGUUUUGGUCAACUUGAUACAAUCUGAUACAAAACGUGUGGUUUUCCUGACAAAUUAGCAAAUUUUGUGUCUCUGUGAGAAGCACGCCCCAAAAACUGUGGUUCCGUGAAAUUUAUUCACUAGUUACACUUUAUCUACAAACAUCUACGAUUCUAAAAUAGUUUGGUAUAUAUUUUCCGUAAUAUAAUUAUUUGAUAUUCUAAAUUCGGGGAUUUGUUCUUAUAAACUUGGUCGAAGUUUAAAAAGUUUGACUUCGGACAAAGUUACGACUUUUUACAUUUAGGAAUGAAGGGAAUACAUUUUAGUAAAGCAAUUGAGGAAUUGACAGAAUUAAAUAUCUUAAAUUAUACUGGUCCAUCGUGUACUCAUGGCAACAAAAUAAAUUUAUAGUCGAAAAGUUGGACCAUGAAAACUUAAAACGUGAUACAUUAAAAUUGUUGAAUCACUCUACAUCUUGUAAUUUUCUCUUGCAACCUUCUGGCGCGCUACUCAUUCCACAUUUGGUACUAUAUGUAUAAAUGUAUAUAUAUACCGCAUUAGGAGCCUCUAUUACUGUUUUAGUAUAAAUAGCAGUUUCCAUCGACUAUGCACUUCAUUAACUUUUUCUUCACGAGAUAACUUGCUUAUCGAUUUUCUUUAAUUAUCCAGAUGGCUUCUACUAGUUUGUUUCCUUGCUUACUGGGAUUUCCGCAGACUUUACGGUUAGGUAUUAUUGUCGUGUGGACAACACGGUGGCCGGAUGUUGAGAUGAUGAUGUCCUUUAUCUCCGUGUUGCUUCUGAGGACUGCGGAUCCGAGGCUAGUGGCGGUAUGGGAUGCCUCUCUACCUCUUGAUCAGGUCAAUCCGGCUCAGCAAGAGGCGGAUCGAUGGUGGCCGGUGUGACUAGAAGCGGGGAGGUAUAUAUGAAACGUUUCUUGCUUCCAGCAUCUCUUCUAGCGGUAUAUAUGUCGUCAGCUGGUUGAGGGAUUGAUGGCAAUCGAUCAUGGCUACGAUGACAUGUAUACGCGCCGGUAGGAACACAUAUCAGGCAAUGUCGAUGCACCUGCAUUGGGCCCUUGCUGAAGGUGGUGGUGCGUAUGGCAGUCUAAAGAUUUAAGACACAAAUUUAGACUUAAAACUUAAAUAAUCAAUUUGUGCCAGCGGGAAACACACAAACACGUACCGGUAAAUUAUCAUAAUCAGAAUUUGUCGACGAAUUUGAUAUUCUUUUACAAAAUAUACUUAUCUUAAUAUGUAUAACCGGAGUUUAUAUUACAUGCCCCUCUCCCAACGAUAGUUGUAGUACUCUUAUAAUAGUAGUACUCAUGAAUACAGUUAAUCCGGGUUGUUGGGAGAGAUCACAUGCAUAAAUACAACAUGAAACAAACGUGUGAAAAAGGUACAUAAAAUCGGUGUGACCCGUUCUUGUAUUAUAAGAAAUCAACUUGCUUAGGCCUUGCCGGACUCCUCACAACCCGGUGGCUUGAAGGCGAUGAAGCUGAUGCACUGCACUUGCCUGGUGUUGUCGAAGCCGAUGAUGCGGACAUAGGCGUCAGGGUACUCCUUCUUCACCUCCUCCAGCUCCUUUAGCACCUGCGUGGCGUCGGUGCACCCGAACAUGGGAAGCUUCCACAUUGUCCAGUACCUGCCGUCGUAGUACCCGGGAGAGUUGCCGUGCUCACGGAAGACGAAACCGACCUUGCUGAACUCGAGGCAAGGAACCCACUUGGAGCGGAUGAGAUACUCGAUCUGCUUCAAGAGGGACUCCACGGUGAGAGGCGGCAGGUAGGAAAGGGUUUCGAACUUCUUGAUGCCCUCAAUUGGCCACACCUACAAUUAGAUUAAUAAUUAGCACCGAAAGUAUAAUUUGAGACACAUAUCAGUAUUUCACUUCAACAUAUGUACAUGAUGACAUACAUACCUGCAUGCACCUGAUCCUUCCACCGUUGGAGACGCUGCCGAGACCAGCGCUGGCUGAGCGGCGGCCGAUGGGGAGCCCGGCGGUGGACUUGAGGCCCUGGAAAGGAGCAACGGCAGUAGCCGCUGACGACAUCACUGUGGGAGCCAUCGUACACGUACGUAGAUAGCUAACAAGAGGAGGCAGGCUUGCUUGAGUGCUCUCUAGCUACAGCGGCUUAUAUAACUGUAGGCUCCCCACCCAUCCAAUAUCAGCACAAGAUCUAGGAGGGGUGGCUGCAGUUCGCCGCGCGGAUUUGCCCAGGCCACGCUGGCAUCCUACGGAUCAGGUCGGGCGCCACAUGGCCGCACGAAAUGGCGCGCGUUAUCCUCUGGACGGAUACAAUUGGCUGCAACGCACUCUGCAAAUCAUGCCAUGAAGUGACCAAUUUUCACCUAUCAGGAUAGAUCCAAUGUGCCACGGCAUGCACUCAAAAACAGAACUUGCUAAUCCCUCCAAUCCAUAAAAAAUCUCGCCCACUUAUUAGAAAAUUUGUAAUGAGUUAAUGCAAAAUGAGCAGCACUUUUUAUGAACUAGAGGAACAACAAAUUAAGAGAAACUCUUCUAAGAUCUUAUCGAGAACGAAGCUUGCCCCCGCGUCGCUCAGUCUGGGGCGACACGGGCGGCAACCACACCAGCCCCGGCAGCAGCCUCUCCCCGUCCUCUCCUCCCCCUCGCCGCCGCCGGGCAAAGCCCGCACGGGGACGGCGGCGGCGGGGCUGUUUUUCUUGGCGGGGGUGUCCUAGAGCUCUUGGCUGAGGCGUUUGAGGUGCUGCCUCAUCGUGGUCGCGGCGUCUCCGGCCCGAUCCGGCAGGCUAUGCCUCGUCUUCGGCUAGAUCCGGCCGGCUUCCUCCCGGAUCCGGUGUUUCCCCUCGUUCUUCCUCUCCCUGGUGCUCGGUCUGCUCGUGGCUGCGCGGCUUCACGGCGGCGCUCUUCGGCCGGAUCUAGCUACUCGUUGGCCAGAUCCGUCAUCUCCUCCGGCUGAUCCGGCAUGUCCCAGGUCUCUUCGUUUCCAUCAUUUUUCCUCUCAGUUUGGUGAGGCGGCUGAUUGAACUUCACCGGCGGCAGAUGGGCUGCUGCUGCGGCCAUACAUGGUCCAAGUCGGUCCUUUUCGAUGCCAUGGUGGCGUGGUUUUCAUUUUCGGUCGCGUCUUCGGCUGCUGCCCGUGUGCGAGGUAUGGACGUCGGCUCCGGUGUUUGGAGUGUUGCUCUGGAUGAAAACUGCCCGUGUGCGAGGUAUGCCGAAGACAACGAUGUUGUAGCGCCGUUUUCCUUCUUGGAGGUGUCGUCGAAGAGCUUCACUUUCCCUCACUUUGAUGUUUGGUGUCUUCGGGUGAAAACCUAAGAUUUGGCUAUGGCCAGAUCGGGCGACAACGGCGUUUUUACGUCGAUUUCCUCCUUGGGGGCGUUGUCAUGGAGACAACGACUCUUGGUGGCAUCGGGUGGUGUGGUCCGUCUAUGGUGGAGCUUGUUGUCUCGAGUUGUUGAAGGUUUGGUGGUGUCUCUUCUUGUGUCAUGUGUUAGCUUAGGCUGUCGGUUUGUGUCCGGCGAGAACGUGCGUUUCUUAUCCUUUGGUGCGGUUUCGGCAUGUGAUGCCUUUCGUCUUCACUAUCGUCACGUAGGUGUCGUGUUGUAUUCUCGGUGGUGUGUGGUCUUUCGGCUUAGCCAACGGCAAGUGGAGGUAUGAUCUCGGUUGUGUAUUGCCCUUCGACUUCAUCGGCGGCACAUCGGCGUCGCGGUGGGUCUCAGUGACGCGCAGCCCUUCGACUCUGCCGGCUACGUAGGUGUCAUGGUGCGGCCUUGACCCUGUGCUUCCCUUCAGCUACGGCGACGACAUAGUGUCUGGGUGGGCUCGUCAGAUCGACGCCUUUCGACUACAUCAACUAUGCUCUUCAUUGUGCAUUUAUUUUGCCAUUGACAUGUUUCAAGAGUCUAGGUUUUUUCCUUGUGUUUCUUUUAGCAAAUGCUGUUCUGCAGGCUGGCUUUUGCCCACCCGAUCAGAAAAGAAAAACAAAUUAAAGGCUAAAAUCAAGCGAUGUUAUAUUCCCUUAGCUAUUACAAAUAUGGAUGAUAAGAGUUAUUUAUCCUUUUUCAACGAGUAACCCUUUACUUGGAAGUUCCAUGUGCAUGGCGCUGCAAGAAAACAAACAUCAUAAUGGGGCAAGACUUUUUUUUUUAUAAACAUCCAAUUUGGGUUAAAGUCUGAAAGAAUUUGGCUAUCUGAACUUUCAGUUUCCACAUUCUUUUACCUACUCAAUUCUUCAGCCAACAGGAUCAAUGGCGACCUACUAACACCAACCAGAACACAUGGGUCACAAACACGAAAAAGGGCUAGAAGGCUACUUAUACACACUCAUGUGUACUGCGAGCAAAAGAACAUAAUGUACAAAACUUUACAAAAUCUAGGGAAUUAAGACCUUCCCGUAUGCUGUUGCUGCCGCUGCUGCUUCAUGCUGGCUCUCCUGGCAACAUCCCAUGGUUUGUGAGGCACACCUACACCUUGCUGGGAUGCGAAGAACGACUCGUAUCCCGGGGAGUCGAAAGCAAAACCAGUGUGCUUGGAGUUCUCUCGAGGGAGCAUGGAGAUCGCAUAGCUUCUUGCUUCUUCUGGGCUCAAAUGGCUCCUCUCAGGCAGAUGUAUCAUGCUGUAUUCGUGGGGGUCAUCCUUGUGCAUCUCCUGGAUUACUUGGUAGUCAUAGGGAAAGAGCCAUCUUUGGAGCCUGAGAAAGCACACAGCAUCAAAGACAACAAUUGAUUCAGCUACUUCAGUAUGUACAAUGGAAGGAAUAACAAACGGAUGGCAUUAACAAACAUAUAAUUUUGCAAAAGAGCUGGUAUCUUACGAUAGAUACAGGAAAUCACCAAAGAGAGCGAUGACUGGAGCAAGCAUUAGUGUGAGGUAGAAGAAAAAGGUACUCAUCAGAACAUAAAUCACAAAAUAUACAUUUUCCUGCACAAGGUACACAGCAUUAAGUCAAUGCAUUUGUAGCAAGUAAUCGUCAUCAGCAGUGUAAUAGCUACAUUAUUCACCCACCUGUCGGUCAAAUGAUGUCAUUAUCGCAGAAUAUAUGAAGAUAAACAGAAACCAGGCCGCUAUACUGCCAGCUACGCUGAAAUAAUGCCAUCUCGUGAUAGAAUUGCACGACAUGAGGAGACGUAGAUUAACAGUCACCACAACACAAGUAAAGGCCAUCGUGCUAACAUCCCAUUGACCAAGAAUCUUGCCAGAUGAACCGUGACCAUGCUGACUUGCAGCUGCAGUAAAGUAAUAGAACACUAUUGACUGGUAGAAGGCAAAGAAACCCCACACCGCAAUCACUUUCCACCGGAAGAAUGUGUUCCUAAUUCCUUCUUGGUAAAGUUGUGGGUAUUUUUUUGAUAGAGAUGCACUCACAUCCUGAAAGGGUUCAGUUUAGUGAAUGUAGCAAGGAGCGUCACUCCAGAACAAGAAAAGUAGAACAAAUACAAGCAACCAUACCUUAUCAAACAACCCAACCAUAAUUACAGGUAGUGCCGUGAAAAUGACAUUAUACAGAGACUGGAACCAGUCAUCAUAAAAUCGCUGACCAGAAAAGCCAGUUUGGAAAGUGAACCAGAACUGAGUUAGUGUAAAAGUCAGAUUCUUGUAGAAGAAGUAUGUGAUAACCUGAAACAGAAAGUGUCAAUGUUAAAAAAAUUAAACUACACAGAUUGGCAGCUACAAGCUAAGGGACCAAAGCAUACCUUGCACAAUCUCAAGUAUGACCACCGCCCAUGUACAAGAAGUAAAUCCGUAAGAUAUCGAAACUGAGCAAUGGCAAAAUCACUCGCCAUAACAGCUUGCAUUCCUUCUUGUCCGCUGAUGCCAAUACCAACAUGAGCAGCUUGAAUCAUACUCACAUCAUUAGCACCAUCACCAAUACUGAGAGUUAUCUUACGUGCACCUUUCCUAACUAAACUUGCAACCUACAAAUGUGUCAACAUUACAUGUUUUGGCAUCAUUCGAACCCAACAGGUUAUUAGGAAAUAAAUCCAAAAAUAAGAGACUUUGAGAUUGCUGAUGGGAUGGGUAACAACCAAAUAAGCACAUAUACAAUAAGUUAAUUAAUACUACCUUUGUUUCAAAAUAUUAUACCAAAACGUCUUAUAUUUUGAAACAGAGAUAGUACUUAUAGUACAAGAGUGUACAGGACAUUUAGUUAAGAGGCCAAAACUAGAAUAGCAAAAGCAACCAAUGCACAGUGGUUAAUAAUGAUCUUGUGAAUCAUGCACAAACUAUUUUGUUGUCAAGGUACAAAAUUGGAUCCUUUAAAAUGUAAUAAUAUCAAUAUCCCCCGUUUAUUGCCCAAGCAUCCUGAAAGGCAUGCAGCUGAGAGCUGCAGACCAUACUGCUAAUUAUUUCAUGGGAAAAGGCAAGGCAUGCAUGAUAAGAACGCUAAAAGCGAGAAUUGAUAUUUACCUGUGCCUUUUGCAGUGGAGAAACUCGACAACAUACAACUGAUUGGCAAAUUAAACUCAAACCAAGAAGAUUCACACGCAGAGCUGGGUCUAGAGCGUACAUCAAGCAUCGUCCAUCAAUAAUGAAAGCCAACUUUCGUCCUGGCGUGCUCCUCAAAGAACGGUGGGCUUCCUCAAGGUAACUUCUCAGACUCUGUUUUACCGAGUCUUUGAUAACACGUGCAAUUUCCACAGGGUCUCCCUGAAAAUGACUGGAACAUUAUUCAUGGCAAAGAUAUGUGCAUAAGUUGAUUUACAUCAAUCAGAUACAAAUGCUAAAUUGCUAAUUAUGGUUGAUCAAACUGCAAAACACACGAGAUAUCCAAAAGGCUAUAUAAACAUGAUGGAGAGGCUAAAGCACUGAAACAACAGAAUCAACAUAAAGUAUUUUGUACUAUUAUGCAACUAAGCCUUUUGUCCCAAGCAAGUUGGGGCAGGCUAGAUAUGAAACCCAAACAGAAACUAAAGCAAAGUGCAGGUAACAAAAGAGCAAGAGAGUAAAUCAAGGUUCAGGCACAUGGACUGCUGAUUUCCAUGCAGCCCUAUCAAAAGCAAAAUCUCUAGAUACAUUCCAGUCCUUCAAGUCCCUUUAACUGCCUCCUACCAAAAGCAAAUAUCAUAGUAAUCCACCAACCAAAGUAACAAGGGAACUACUUGUAACUUCUUAGUUCACAAGUACAUACCAGUUGAGCUAUCCAAUUAUUCUAAAUAAUAUGGUUUGAUACCUUUACCAAAGUCUCAACUUGUAUUCAUUUUAAAGCUUAUACAAGAUAUUAUAUGUUAUGGCUUAACAGUCUCCAUGACACAAUAUGGCUUGACUUCACAGUUUAAUUCUAUAGGAUUAUCUUACCCUGUCUUCAGCAUCUCUAAUUGCAUCUGUCUCAGAAGUGAUGAUGAAUUGUUUUGUAUCGUUAUUCACCAGGCUGCACGCUGCAGAGCAAAAACUAAAUAACUUCAGAAGCUUUUCUAUGUCAGGUGAAAGAGAGAGAAAAAGACCGCCCGCCCCCCACCAAUAAUCCAAAACUGAGCUUCUAUUAGACCCCUUAAGAACGAAACAAGCAUGCAAAUUGAUCUAUAUAUAAUUAAAACCUCACCAUAUGCUAUAUUAAUUGCUGUUUCCAUUUUAUCUCCAGUUAGCACCCAAAUUUUUAUGCCAGCUGCAGAAAGAGUUUCAAUGCAGGCUGGAACCCCUUCUUGCAGUUUGUCUUCUAUUGCAGUGCACCCUAUCAAUAUAAGGUCCUUUUCAAUCAACUCAGCCACCUACAGGGGAAGAAACAGAAGGAAAUUAUAUGGCAAUGUCCCAGCAAUAUCUUAAAUCAGAAUAUACAUUAAGUCUAUUACUUCAAAUUCCUUUUUCCUAGAAAUCACAGUGAACUUAGUACAUGAAAGAAUGAAAGGAUAAUGCUUUUCUAAUGGGGAUUUGAAAAAACAUCAUAAAAAUAAUAAUAUAAAGUACUGUAUGUUCUUGUUCUAGAUAAAUUACAAAUAUCUUUUGCUCAUGAUCCUCUUUCCUGACUAAAAAAUAUAUAUUAUUAUGUAAAAUACUAAUGUUCUAUGGCAGUACAAGAUAAUAAAUUAGCACAAAAAACUAUUAAACUGCAAAUGUCAGCUGUUAGGGAUGGAUGACAUGACUCCUGUAGUUUUGGGGGGAGAGAGAGAGGAGACACACUGAACAAAUUACUUCCUUCGUCUCCAAAGAUUGCCAUGCCACAUUCUAUUCGGUCAGUCAACCUUUUACAACUUCAAAAUUAACAAUUAUAAGUGAAUUGAAUUACUACAUGAAAAAUAACAGCACUCAAUUUGCUUGCAUAAUAAUUUGUACGCAAAACUUUUGCUUGUAUAUUAGCAUAGAAAUCAUAGCCAGAGUUUUAUGUUGGGAGAAUAUAAAAUUAAAAAAUGGCCUACAUUUGUCAGGUACAUUCAGUUAAUUGUUUCCAAAACCAAAUUAAUUUUCAUACAUAAAUACCAAACGGAUCAAUAGCAUGCUCAACAGUGCACAUGAGACUCGAGUUCAGUACUGGAUGACAGAAAGUAAAAAAAAUCAGGCAAGCACUAGAAGGUGGAGGGGAAGUAAUCGAAAUUCAAAUCACAGGGACUGUUCAGCCUGUAUACUCAACAGAAGAGGAUGGUACACAUACCUCAUCAAGCUUCUUAUCACGAUCUCGUAAAGAAGAUUUAGCUUGAACAAACUUCUCAUUCCAGCUUUCGUACUGCUCCCUGCUUAGAUCUCGAUAAGCAAGGCAAAGCGUGCGCAAGCCAGCAGAGCCAAAUUGUUCUAGAUGUUCUCUGCUUGUCUUUUUAAUGUCAUGAUUUCCAUCAGCUAACCGUUCAAAAAUGACAUUAUCAGCGCCCUGUUACACAACAUUUGUAUAAGGUUAGUGCAUCAAUCUACAAAGUGAUAGCUACAUAAAGAUUCUUUUUUCUUGUAUUACCUUGCAAUACAGAACAAGUUUUCCAUUUGGGAAACGGCAAACCACAGAUUGGCGCUUUCUUGUACUGUGAGUGCAGUAAAGUGUGAAGUGCAGAACAAUGAUUUCAUCUUGUCAAAUUUAAAUUGAAAACAGAUAAACCAGACCUGUUGAAUUCCAAAACAUUCAGAAUUUCAUAUGCAACAUCUUGUAUACUCCCCAUCCUCUCAACAUGUGAUUCCCGAACCAAGACUGUGGUUGGCGUACGUCUACAAGACAGGCACAAAAUGUCAACCACCGGCAUUGCCAUUCACAAUAAAAAUGCCACAUGAAAUAAUUUGCAACAAAAAUCAUAAGAACUUAGAUGAGUUCAUGUUCACAGCACUUGCUUUAACACUUGUCUUAAUUUACAACGGCAAUUUUUUGUUGAUGGGCUAAUAGUUUAUUUAUGCUUCUUAGUAUGUACAUUCAGUCCUUCAUACAACAAACUAUAUAAGCAAUAACCUGGGUGAGUGACUCUUUUAUGCACAUUUUCCUUGGGACCAUAGCAUAGUUUUUUAAGAUACCUUGUUUGCAACAAACUGAUAAGAGGAAUCUAUAACUGUAUUUAAAGGCAAGGUAAGACAUGCCUAUAAAAGAAGAAACCAAAAUUCUUCGCAGCAGCGACAAGCGCGGCCUCGUCGGGAGAGGCAGCUUGAUAAGUAAUCUUUUCCGGUGUCUCCUCACCCUCAGGAAGAACUGUAUGACAGAUUGCAAGGCAUCUGCAGAAUUGCUAUAGAGCAAAUAACAAAGUUGUUACACAACUAGCACAUUAACAAGGGAAAAUGUGAAAAAGGAAAAUAGGUUCCAAAUUUUAUUAGUAAGGGCAUAUAUCGUGAUAUGUGAAUAAUUUGUGUCAACUAAAUCAAAACUGAUUAUGACCAAAGGGGAACCAAUCGAACUAUUCCACAGGUAGUCCCGUAUUUACCACGCAAGCAUCAGGAUUAGGUUCAUUUCUCCAUGCACCACGCAUUAUUCUAGCAUCAUCAAAGUUGAAUCCUUUCUCAUGAACUGCAGUGGCUGAUCUUUUACCCUAAAAAAGGCAAGUAAACUGGAUAUUAAAUCAGUUGUGCAUUAAAUUUUUCAUCAUAUACCACCACACUUCAAUAGCGUAAACAACAAAGAAAAUGUUGUAGACCUCAUCAUCAUCAAUCUUGACUCCGGCUCGCUCGGCUCCUCCUUUUUCAAUCUCUGUGAUGCCAGUUCCAUAUAUUUCCCCUCCAAUCGAACAUUUAAAGAAUUCCAUCAAGUUUCUUGUAAGUGUUCCAGUUUUGUCAGAAAAUAUAUACUCAACCUGAACCAUUAGUGGGGCAAAAAAAAUUUGGCAGAAAUGUCAAAUUAUUUGCAAGUGUUAAGUGCAUUUUAGUACCACUCGGCAUUUGUUCAGUCAUAUAAGCAUUUCUGGGGAUCUAGAACAGUUUUUCGGUGGGAGUAAGUCACUUAAUAUUAGUGAAAUGAGACUGUUCCCCAAGUGCUUAUAAUUGAUCCCACUUUCUGGAAUGAGUCGGUGCAGUGAGGUCAUUCUAUCCAUUAACCAAACCCAGCCAUAUAGGUCAAAUAAGUAAAUAACCCCAUUUCAGCAACAAACAAAGGGGCUUUCAUCAAACUAAACAGAAUGCUAAGGAACAAAAAAAAAACUGAUAUUACCUGCCCAAGCUCCUCAUUCAGAUUAGAAGUCCGAGCCAAAGCUGGGGUGUUGCUCUCGGCAUGAUACAUAUUCAGAUCAUUGUUAAUAAACUUUGCACACUGAAUGAAUUUGAUCAUCUGCCAGCCAAAAUAAACAUAAGGUCCAAUCCAAAUACAGGGUACACUAAAUGAUAAAUUGGUCAAUAUACCUCAAUGGAUACAUAAAGAGAAAUGGGGAUGAUCGUUGAGUAUAGAGUUAUUAGAGUAAACAUAGUUAAAAUGGUCACCUGCAAAAGUACAAACCUAUGAUAUAAGGCCACUUAGAGAAUAUUCUCUACAAUAAAUUAACUAAAAUAAUAUAUACCACAAAUCUGUUCUUGGGAUUAAACUGGUCCUCGACACGCCCACGCAAUCCAAGAUAGAAGUAUUUCUCAUUAAUAAACACGCCACUGUUCACAAAAGCCAAGUAUGAUGAGUCCAUUGGUAGAGUUUUAGGUUUCUAAAGAACGUGCAAGCUAAGCAGUCAUAGUUACCAAAAUCUAUAUGCUGAACAGAGCACUUCCAUUUCUGACCAUCUAGAAAGUGCCCUAUUAUGUACCUCCCACAUAAAACCACUAAGAAAAAAGAUAAGGCUAUUAAGACCUAGUCAUGUGCUCAUCUAUACUGCUCCUAUGCCACAAUAAAAAAAUAACUUCCCCAAACAAGCUCCUGACAACUCAUGUCAUAAUGUUUAAAGUUUAUCUCUCUAUUAACAGUUGUUUUUUCAUGAUCAAUUAAAUUGUGAAAAAUGAUUGUGCAAGCAUAAGCCUCCACAACAUCAACCUAACCGAUAUAACUCAUGUUCAGAGAAUAUACAUGUAAACAAUAAUACAAGAUAGAUAAGUCAAAUAAAUGAAGUGGGCCAAAUAAAACACUGACCUUCCAAUAGCACCAAUGACACACAUCGUAAAGAGGGUUGCAAAUAGAGCAAGAAUAAGCUUGUCUAGUUUCUUCUCCAAUGUACUUCUUUUAGAGGGAACAUUCAUAGAAUUCAUCAUAACCUGCAAUAGUGUCCCACUGCAGUAAAUCUCAAAACUAGAAGCACAUCUAACCUACAAGUUGAAUAUAUAGGGACACAAAAUUGCACAUACUUUCGUCUCAUGGCCCGUGAAUAUAACAGCCGCGACAAUGUACUCUGUAUUACGAAGGCUGCAUCCCUGUGGCAAAGUGGUAAUAAGAGGUUGCAUGUGUGCCACAUAAAGAGAGAGAAUUAAGUGUCAUGCAAGACACCGUUCAGUCUGGUGAAAGUAAACAUUUCUUUUGCACUUUACAAACAUUGCUUCAACCCUUCACCACUUAUCCUACAUAUGGGACUAGAGAAGAAAUGGAAGUUGUUUAUAUGAAUGUUAAACAUUUCCAAAUUGUUUAUAUCAUAGCUAUCCUUGUUUGCAAACCAAUAAGAACAAUAUUAUUAUAGAGGUGUUUUAUGAUGAAAAUUUCUGCUGGUGACAUUUGGGUGUCGUCAAUAUUGGUAUUUGGAGGAGAUGUUGGUGAUCAAAGUUAAAGGCCGAGUAAAGGCAUCACGCUAUGAUGUUAUUUUUUACCUGAGGGAUUUUCUUAACAAACUCAUGCUAAAUCUAGAACAUGCAAACAACUUUGCAGGUGGACAAUCUUGUAAAGAAAUUUCAAGGGCAUGUUUGUGUGAGGGGUAUUACUUUGGUACGUGUUGGUAACUACAUACCUAAUUGUUACAAGAAAAAUCUCAUCCAAACAAGCCCUAAGGACAUUAUGGACCUUGCUACUGCAAAGUUGGUAAGUCGAAAAUACGACAGGAUGUCUGAUUGAUAUGUAGGACCUGGACCCACAUGUCAUUCUCACAGCGAGUCGCACUAUUUCAAAUGUCAACUUUGUGGUGGCAUGGUUUCAAUUUUCCCAAUAAGAAACUAGAUACAAAUAGCAUAGAUGAACAGCACUUACCCUUAGUAGUAUUUGAUUUGGUGAAAUUGGUAUAGUUUGCUUGUCCACAAUAAGGUUCCCGGUAAAUGUAUAAAGUGAAUUGUUUGGCUGUUCGCAUUGUAUUUCACCUGUAAGCCAUGAAACAUACAGAUAAUGUGAAGUUAAGAAAAUGUAGAAUAGUUAAGUGAAGUUCAGAAAAGGAGCAAUGCUUCCUACACCAACUACCGAAAAAUGUCUGCAACAUGGAACAAGAAUAGAUAAAAACCUUUGAAUUCAGAAGCCUUUUCAGGAAUUACGCAGUCCCAGGUUUUCUCCAAAGCCUUCCUUAUUUUCAGGUUAGUUUCCCCAUCAAGAUUUGCUGUCUAAGGUAAAUAGAAGUAUGAUACACUUCAAUUAAAACAGAGUUUCUCUAAAUCAUUCAAUAAUUUCAAUUUGGACAAAAGAUGGAGAAGGUAAGAAUGAAUAUAUUGACCUCUAUGUAGCAGACACCAUCAGGGUUCGUACUUGAUAGGAAGAGCAAGUCAGAAGGAAAGUAAGUGUCUUGCUUGAUCUGCUCUAAAGAAGUGCCAUCACUAUUAGUCUUUUUGGAUAUGUGUAUCGAGCUGAAGAUUAAAUUUGCACAGCACAAAAGAUCAAGUGCAUUAAUUUGUGGAAGCAACAGAUCAAUUGAAUUGAUCAUCAAAUUGCUAUCAGGAAAGAUGAAGACAUUACCCUCACAAUAUCUCCAACCUGCAGUCUUUUCCAAGGGGCACUUUCCCAUUUUUGACCUUGCAAUACAUCGACGUGCGCAUUAUUAAUUGACAUGUCAUUCUGGAAACGUUUCUGUAUAAUGGGAGGCAAACAAAAAGGGAAGAAUAUCAGAUAACAUUAAGAAUAGCAAUAAAAUAGUGGAGCAACAGAGCAUGAGAGCAAUACUAACCCAGUCCUCAAAAGCUUCCUUGAUGAGUGAAACCAAAAGCACUAAACUAAGUGGAACCACAUUGGUGACAGGGUGGACUGGACUGCGAAGAUACAAGCAUGUAUGAACUAAGAUUUCUAGAAGUAAAGGUGAAGGAAAGCAAAGGAUGACUGAAUCAACUGAUGGACUUGAUAUGCUAAGAAGUGUCUAGCUGUAACAUGAGAAUUCCAUAGGGUGCAUGCAUGAGAGAGAGAGAGAGACCUAAUUGGUGUAGUCGACAAGAUUGAAAUCAUAAGAAAGUAAAGAUUUGCCACCCGUCUGAACUGUCAAAGCAAAAAAAAAAACAAAUGAAUUACAAAAGGUUCCUAUGGUCAAAUUGCGAUAAUACAGAAAGGGAACAUCUAAAUCGGUGUUACAGCUACCAUUGCAAAGUUUCUUUAUUCGAUAUGGAAAAAUGCAUUACAUGUUUAAUGUAUGAAGCCAUUGAAAUACUUUAAUGUACCUUACGUAAAAAACAGUGGAUAAUGAAAUUGCCAGAAUUAUGGUAUCGCAUAAAAUGAAGGUUACAUUGAGCGAAAAGCAUGAUCAGGGCUUUACCAAAUAACAAAAUCAUACUUCUCCUUUUCUCAAUAUAUGGCAUUUUAGGUUUCAUUGAAGACAAGUCUUUGAAAAGGAUUUACUUUGUGUUGUUUUUAAGGCAUGAAAUUUAUAUCACUAGAUUCAUCCUCAAAAGUACUUAAUGUGGAUUCAUAUCAUAUAAAUCACAUAUUAAUGAAGUAAUUCUUGGUCAAAGUCUUGUAUUAACGAAACCUAAUAUGUCCUGUAUUGACAAAAUGAGGGAGUAUAUUAUCUAACAGUGCAUGUAUACAGGCACGAUACUGGUAGCGCGUAUUACAAGCAAGGUAUCUUAAAAACAUUGCAACACAGUGCCAGACCAGGUAAGCAACUAAGCAUCUCAUGUAUCCACUAUUUUAAGGGAAGUUGAUCCAGAGUGAGGAAAUAAACAUUUUUAAGGAGAUAUAUCAAUUUGCAAUGUGAAAAUGAUACGGAGUAGUAUAAUCAUUUCACUGUGAUAACAAAUACUCCCUCCGUUCUAAAUACUUGUCGCUGUUUUAGUGCAAACUAAAACAGCGACAAGUAUUUAGGAACAGAGGGAGUAACUUCCAUUUACCGUUAGACAUGAUACAAAAUAAUAUGUUGAAAAAAAAUCUAGCCAAAAACUAAAAAACAAACAGAAAAUCUGCAUUAAACGAUGACAAACCCAGCAGGUAUGUUGAUUAACAAAAUAUGUAUGAACAAAAAACAACGCAUCAAUACCUGUUCAAACAAUCCUUUAGGUAGAAAUGUCAGCACACUGUACUUUGUAGUCGACACAGAAUUUCCCUGGAAAUGUAGAAUGAGAAUGUUAAAGAACUAAUUCUAGCAGAAAAACAAAGUAGCGCUCUGCAUUAGAAUCGCGAUGGUCUGAUACCCAACAUGAGGGAGAUUCUGAAACUAAACAGAAGAGCUAAUUGCAACUAGAAGCAUGAAAAAAGUAUAGCUUGAUCUUUUUACAACAUCAAGUCUGAAUACAUUCAAGCAUUUACACUAACUUGGAACAAAAUGUGGGUGUCAAAGAAAAUGCAUGAAUACACCUACUUACAAUAAAGCACCAAUUUUGCAGUGAUUGGACAAACUAUGGUUAAAAUACUUAAUAAUAGAGUUCUACGUAUUUGGAGGCAUAAAACGCAUUGCAGUUGGAGCAGUGGCAUUAUCAUGUUAGUCAGUCUAACAUGGCAGUGAAUGACGUGAAUUUUUUGCUAGUUUAGACCUCUGGCCAGCGCAAUUGACAAAAAUGCCCCCCUCUCAAAACUAAUGCCAAAAAUGGUCUGGCAGAAGGCCCGAAAGGCGCCACAUUUCAUUUUUCGCCAUCUGAGCUGCGCAUGCAAACAUUCCGACAACCUGAAAGGCGGAAAGGCCGUUCCGCCUACUGCAUUUGAUGAAUGCACCUGACAAGGGCGGAAGGUGAACUGGGCCCUGCAGAUGGAAGCAAUUUCCACAUUUGUUACAGACCUGGAAUCUUUUUUUUUGUUGGAGUCGACGGACCAUGUAUGUGCGGAUGCAUAGGAAUCGGCAAGCAGCCUAGCUGCUAGUUCACGGGCACGUUUUACAUUUUCUUUCCUCAGGUUUGGCUAGUGCUACCACGUUGAUACUAAUCAACGCUUCUUGUGAAUGGGCUUAGUUGCUUCUACUAGUCGUGCGAGCGUUAAUCUUUUCUCUGUGCGCCUGCAUGUGCGGGCGUGGGAAUCGGGUCAGGUCCCUGCAGACAGCACGCCUGGCUGCACUGGGCCUGCUUCAGCUUCCGCCCCUGAAAAUUCACUUUCGUCCAUUUCAACUGGAAACAAGUAGGCUCCACCUGUCCUGUUGGCGGAAAGUUCAUUCCUCCUACCCAGUGGCCACUGGGUCAGUUGCUGGGCUUUCCACCACGUCAUUUUUCAAAUUAUAUUUCAGAUGGAGCUAUUUUUGCCAAUUCCGUUUGACAAGGGGCUACAAGAGCAAAGAAAUUGAAUGACAUAGCAAGCAAUCAAUUUCCCCUUAUAGGUAAAUAAUAAACAGCUUUGCUUCAGCUUACUGUCAUCAGCUGGUGGCUGACUGCCCUGACCAAACACAAGUUCAGUAAUCUACACAGCAAGCGGCACACAGGUGCAGCUAAGCACAUGGAUGAACAGAAUAUUCCAGCCAUUGAGGCUCAGCUCUCGAAGCUUAAUGCCAGGUGGCAUCUACAUUGUAUUGCAGCCCGUAGCACCCUGAUUGACUAGUAACCCAACAAUGAGACAAGCUCUAAUCCACCCAAUGACCUCACAGUUGGCAAGAAAUGCAGCCCUUAGUGACACGCACCACCCUACAUAACUUUCUCGUGGACUAAUCAGUAUGAAUCAUAUAAACCCUCUGCAAGCUGCAGUGAAAUAAAACUACUACUACUGAACUAGCUAUUGUCCCAGAUGGCCAUCUCCAACCCAACCGCCCAAGCAUGAAACAAGGGGCCAGUUACGAGAUCUAGGCCUACAGACCCCUAGACCUUGAGACAACCGACCUGUUGAUCAUCCGAAUUAGAGGAGGAGGUGCACACCCGUACCUUGUACCCGACCGGCGCGUUGGCUUCGCGGUCGUUGCAGUAGAUGGUGCGCACGGUGGGUGCCUGCGGCUGCGGCUGCCGUCGGAGGCUGCCGCCCCCGCCGCCGAGACGCGCCGUCCUGGACGCCUCAGCGCGGCCGGCCUGAGAGGUCCCCCCCCGCGGCGACUGCUCGCCGCCCAGCCGCGCGGUGGCAACCCGCAUCAUCUCCUUUAUGCGCGAGCUCAUCCUGCCCCCCUCAGCGCCAAACCCAGCGCUGGAGGAGCCGGCGGGAGAUCUGGGGAAACCUCACGGUGGAUCGGAGGGGAGACCUAGUCGGAUUUGCGCGGCUUUCUGGUGGAUUUCAGUGCCUCGCUGAGGAGGGGAUUCGAUUUGGGUCACGCGUUCCCGUAUGUGCGUAUUUUUUCCGUGUAAUUUUUUUGUUUUGCCUUUUUCUUUUCCUUUGGCUCCGGGAGAAGAGAAGACAGGAGGGGAAGGAAAAGCGAAGGUCGCGACUUCGCGAGGAAGAAAAUGAAGGGAUUACUGCAGAUCACACCCUUGAUUAUUUUCGAAUAUGGAAAGCUCCAGUAACUG